AAACUAUGGCGUGGGCAUUGUUUGAGCAUACUAUUUUAUCUAUCCCAAGCCUCAAAUAAGGAUUCUGAAUCAGCUUGUUUAAAACUUGCAAUGAGAUUCCUCAUAU